UACGUAGGGUGCGAGCGUUGUCCGGAAUUAUUGGGCGUAAAGGGCGCGUAGGCGGCCCGCUAAGUCGAACGUGAAAUCCCCAGGCUCAACCUGGGAACUGCGUCCGAUACUGGCAGGCUUGAAUCCGGGAGAGGGAUGUGGAAUUCCAGGUGUAGCGGUGAAAUGCGUAGAUAUCUGGAGGAACACCGGUGGCGAAGGCGGCAUCCUGGACCAAUACUGACACUGAAAAGCGAAAGCCAGGGGAGCAAACGGG
rnacentral:rRNA from 1 species